CUCAGGCGUUCACUCCGGGUACAGGGCCUUAACUAAGCGCAAACUACUUUAACGGAGGGCCCUGAAGGGGUAAAAUGGGAACUGGGAUUGAUCUAUUUUUAGACUGGGAAAAUGGGAUUUGGGUUGCUGGGACUGGGAUUUGGCCACUGGGAAUGGGAAAUGAAGUCCUCAAAAAUGGGAAUGGGAUUGAGGUAAUGCGAGUCGAUUCCCAAUUUUUCUACGUUUUAAGUAUUUUAAAAUACACUUUUGAACCGUUUUAGGUGUCUUUG